UACGUAGGGCGCAAGCGUUGUCCGGAAUUAUUGGGCGUAAAGAGCUCGUAGGCGGCCAACUAAGUCAUACGUGAAAUCCCUCAGCUUAACUGGGGAACUGCGUGUGAUACUGGAUGGCUUGGAUUUGGGAGAGGGAUGCGGAAUUCCAGGUGUAGCGGUGAAAUGCGUAGAUAUCUGGAGGAACACCGGUGGCGAAGGCGGCAUCCUGGACCAAUAUUGACGCUGAGGAGCGAAAAGCUAGGGGAGCAAACGGG
rnacentral:rRNA from 1 species